GAGCUGGGAGCUGGAGCACAUGUGGUUUAUUUUGGCGGCUUAUCUGAAUUCUCUUCGACGUUCGUAGGAGCUGUAGAAAUUAAAACAAGACGAAUAUGCAAUCGCAUCACGAGGACAGGGAGGAUUCCAUGCUACUUGUAAGCAGAAUGCAGGCAUUGGUGAGAGGGACUCUGAUUAGGAGAUCAUUAAAGAACUUGAGAGCGGAGUUUGAAGAAAUCAACAAUGAACUGCAAGGAGAAGUUCCCAUUCAUGCACUCACCCAUUGGCCAGCAAAGACACCAUGUAGACCGGUAUUCAGCUCAUCAAAUGAGGGUAUUGAUGUACUCCAGAGACUAGCCAAAAAGGAUUGGCGUAAACCACACCCUUCACCGCAAUCUCAGCAUCCAGUGAGGAUAGAAGGUGAGCCAGCAUCUCACCAAGAUUCUGGUGACUUUGAGUCAGUACUCUCACAGCAAUCUGAGCAUCCAUUGAUUCCAGAGGGUGAGCCAGCAUGUUCCGAAGUUUGUGUUGAGUCAAAAGAACCCUCACAGCAAUCUGAGCAAUCAAGUAGUAUAGAGGGUUAUGAUACAUCUCAGCAAUAUUCAUCCGACUUCCAGUCAAGAUCUUCUUUAUCAUCAUCAGAGAAGUCUUUCCAACAUUCCUCAGGAGAUUCCUUGCUACCAUCAGAUUCAAAUGUAGAGGGCAGGAACCCAAGUGUACACAGUCUCUCAGAGAGAUCCAUUGUUGAUAAUCAAGGUGCAAAUGAAUUAUUCCUUCCAGCAUCAGUCAUCAAUGAAACAGCAGAAAAUGGAGAACAAUUGAUAAUGGGACAGAAACGGAUUAAGGAAGAACAACGUAACCAAAUUGUUUCUAAAUCUCUCUUGCCUGAAAGGUAUGAUACAGAUCAUGAGGUCAAUAUGGAAGGAGGAUCCCCUUUCUGUCUAAGUCAUGGAACAGAAUUUAUCCAAGCACAAACUCUGGAUGGAAGAGGGGAUGGUGAGAAGAAUGAGGGAAGUGAUGAUAAGCAAUGUAAUACCACCAGAAGUAAUGACAGUGAGAAGAUAAUGCAGAGACAGAGUUUGAAUGAAACUGACUUGACCCUUGUGUCUUCACUGGAGGAAUCAUCUAUUACAUUAUCUUCACCAGACAAAGAAGCAGUAUCGAUAGAUGCCUGUCACCAGAGUGACCAAUUGAAUCGUGAGGAUGCUGGGAUUUCAUCAAAUGGCCAGAGGCUUCCAGCUGGACAAGAUGUUCUCGGUCAGUCAUCAAAUGCAACAUCUGGUACGGAUUCAUCGUCCUUACCUCCCAUCUCCAGCCAGUCUUGUAAAGGACCAGCUUUGCAAUCCCGAACCAUGAGCAAUGGUCCACCGAGUGUAGGAGACUUGCCCCUUCCCCAUUCCCAUCAUCAGCAGACAAACCUGGGCCAAAAUGAAGCCAAGGGAUCUAAAACUGUGACUUCUGAGCGAACACUUGUACAGUCACAAGGCGCUACGGGAUUUGGUCCUGAUGACAGCAGACAGGUCCUAGUGCACAAUAGCAAUCACACAAGUGAUUUUGAUGCAUCUGGAGCUGCUGAUAUGACUUCCAUUUGGAGUACAGAUUUGUCAGAUAGUGAUGAUGAAGUGCCAAAGAGAGAAGAUGAAAGAAAGCUGAGGGAGAUGAGAAACAAUACUGCCAUGGAGUUACUGUGGAUACAGCAAGCAAUUGAAAGCAGGAAGAAUUAUCUGAGGCUGAAGAGUAAGAUGACAAUCAGUAAUGGGACAGAUCAGUGAUGUUUGGAGACAGACGAGAGGAUCAGAGACAAGGUCAAGCUUCCAAGGAAGGAAAUCUAGAGCUUGCAAGUAAGAUUUGGGUGAAUUGUUAUAGUCUUGGGCUCUACCACAGUGGAUAUUCUUAUGAUCAUCUGACAUCAUUAUACAAAGCGAGCUUUAGUUUACAACAUUCAACGGUAUAUAGUGAUUUGGUCUAUACCUGCUUUUUUCAUUUGAUUUCUCAUGCUAUAUCUGUUUCCUCCUAUGUCCACUUGGUCUCACACCACUUUUGAUUAUGAACAUAAUUUUCAUUUGACAUAGUGCAAAAUAUUAUAUUGAAGUGAAAAUUAGCCAUGAGAUCAAGUGAUGGUUGGACCAACUGAUUAUGAUGACCAAAUUGAUAGUAGUAGUGGGUUAAGUUAUGAUGGUGUUAGAUGGUCUGAGGAUGAUUUGCUACUAGACCAAGUGGAUCAUACAAACCACUUUUACCGCUUUGCUUGAUACAUCACCCAAGUAUAUCACAGUAAACCACAAGGCUGUCACCCAUAACUGGUAAGAAAAAUAAGUCAACUAUUCCCCUGGAAGGAAUCAAAAUCACUGGCAAGAUUGUACAAAAUCAUGUGGUGGUUGUUUCAUAAAGUUGUGCAAGGUUAUGAAUGGCUUAACGCAUGACUGGUGACCAUUUCUUGUACUAAAUUAUAUUUUCCUAUGUAACUUAGUACUAAAGAACAUGAGCCAGUCUUGCCAUGAGUAACUUUGUGAAACACCCUCCCAUUCUUCUAGGGAAUAUUGAUAACAAAGAAAUUUUUUUUUUUGAAUAAACAAUUCUUUAGUUAAAAAAAUCAUAGGCCUGUUCCUUGAAAAUUGAUUUGUAAUGGAUUGGGCUUGCAGAAUACUAAAGGUUUCAUUUUAACCCAUUACAGAUUGAGCCCAGAGUCUGUUGUAAAUGCAACAAAUAAUCAGCCAAUCUCCUGUGGGUUAUCCUUUAAACAAUUAAUCUUAAUUGAAAAUACAUGUAUGUUCAUGUAGAAAUGUGCAGUGUAUGUUGAAAAGAGUUAAGCAUUUUGAAUUGUCUUUUAGGAAAAAUGCUACCACCAACAGAAUGCGAAAAUUCAAGGUUUUGUUGAUAAAAGUAAUAUGUGUUCGUACAUUUUACUCCUAUUUCCUGCAAAUUUUAGUGUUUAUUAUUACUGAAUUAUUGUUCUUUUUACAGAACCUAUUCCCAAGUAAUUUUCCCUUCAUUAUUUAUAUAUUUUUUUAAAGAUUUUGAUCAUGAUUAAUAUAUGAAUAAUGAUUUUAUGGCUGUGGCAUCAUAUUUAUAAUGUAGGAUAUACCUGACUGGGAGAUGGUGUCCUGUGAAUGAUGAGCCUACGGGGCAUUGUCCCUUAAAUUGUAGGAGAACGGCAUGCCCUAUCAGGUAGAUUUUUAAAAUAAUUUUAAUUGUGUAGGUCUUAGAAUAGGGGUGUGUGAAUUACAUGACCACCAGUGAUCAUAUUCUAUUUCAUGUAGGCCUACAUAUUGUGCAUACUAUGAUCAAUUCUUAAUGCACCUUUCUCCCUCUGCGUGGAGUCAGUUUUGUUGAUAUGUCUACCACAUUUAGAAGUACCACUUUUGAGACAUGUACAUGUAGUAAUUUACAUGUAGGAAAUCAUUUUUAUGUAACUUUGGUAAUUAGCAUCACGAUUUUCAUUUUAUUCAUCCUCAAAAAUUUAACAAAGGGCCCAUUCUAGAUAAUAUGAAUUUAGAAUUGUUGAAAUUCUAAAUUGCAUGAUUCCUGUACAGCAAGGUGCCGUUUCAGGCUUAUAAUGAUUGUCACUGUGUUAUUUUGUAAACUACCUUGGAAACCUUGAUCCCUGUUACUGUGGUAGUUACUAUGAAAUUUUUUUUUAUUGUAACAAUAGACAUAUUACAGAAAGCAGGAAAUCGAUGCGCUCUUCUGACUUAAAGUCUACUUAGUUCUUUUUCCUUUUUUUUAAACCAGUGCCCAUAUGUAUCUUUUCUGCAGGGACCUUUGAAAUCAGAAAUAGGUAAGAAAUUCAGAGUGUUCAAAGACUAAAUUAUCCAGUUUACAAGUUUACCAAAUUUCCUUAUUUAUAUACCGGUAUUACAAAUUGCAUAUGAUUUCAAAUCUUUUAUCAACCAAGUAUAACAAUGGCGUUAAAAAUACCAAGUAGAAUUAGUAAAUAUUCUUCCUUGACUUCAUCAGCUCGUAAUGUUGUGAUGUUCAUUGUAUAGUGUAUAUGGGUAAUUGGGUAUACCCUUAGUUAUAUAUGUACAUGUACAUGUAUUCUCUCUGUUUGGACUUUGUAAUUUCUCAGCUGGAGUAGCUAUGUUCAAGCAAGAAGCGAAGAAUCAUAAAACCAGGAGCUUGCAAAUAUAUUAGAUAUUAGAGUGAAUGCAGAAUAUCAUAAGAGGUGUGGCUCAGUGGAAUAGUCUUUGGACUUUGAACCACAAAGUCCGGAGUUCAAAUCCCACCGCAGCACUAGCAUCCUUUGGCAAGGUGUUUAUCUUCAUUUGCCACUCUUUACCCUGGUAUAGUAAACGGAUACCCGGUAGGUAGGAAUUCAUUGAAUGCUCAAUGCUCCCGAUCAGGGUAGCUAUGCUAAAGCCCGGGUAAUAGUAUGCAAUGCUAAGGAACAUUUGAAAACGAAAUGUUGCAUAUUAUUAUUAUUGAUCUCCAUGGAGAUCAGCUGUACGUCACAGUGUAAAAAGGUUUGUAACUCGACGAAAGAAGCAUCCUGAUGAUAUGCGGGUAGCUAGAAAACGUGUCAACAGGUGAAUGCUAAUGACUUGACAGCUAGUUUCUUCUGCCCCACGUGCAUAAGAAAAUGUAAAUCUACGAUUGGCAUUGACAGCCCUUCCAAGACUCAAUAAUCAUGCAAGCAGUCAUCUUACUUUAUUUGAAGGGAUUGCUGAGAGAUUAAUAUUACAAUGGUUCGGGCAGACAAAGUCAAGGAAGAAAGAUGAAAAUUCCUACAUGCACAUGGUAUUGCAUGCAUUUCCUUGGUCCUAUUGGUUGAUGAUAUCUUUAAAGAAAAUUUAGUACAUAACUGGUACGAAAUGUGUGAUUCUGUGAAUAUCUUAUAAUUUCUUUAUUCAUUGGUCCAUUAGUCUGCUGCAAAUUGCAGCAAUUACCAAGAGCAUCAGGCAAAGGAUGCUGAGCCCUAUGGGAAAAUUACGACAGUUGUAAUUUAUGUAUGAAACAGACCCCUGACCUGUGUGUUUUGCACACAAAAAUUGUACCAUAUGGAUUGCACAAAAUAAAAUUCCUGUUAUUAAUAUCUUCAUUAAUUUGUAUCAAUAUAGUUCUUUUUUUGUAAUAAUUAUGUUUACCUAAAUAUUGCAUAAACUACAGGAUUAUUAUUUUUGUCUACAGUAGGUUAUAUUGUAUAAACUACCAGAUUGUUAUGAGAGACUGCAUGAAUCAUUAUGAAUCUUGCGUCAGUAUGAUCACUCUGCUGCUCCCACCUUUAUCCAUCAAACCAUAGAGCUGGUUCAUAACUUCUGGAGAUCAGUGCACCUUGCAUGAAGACAACCUGGGUCAAGUAACAUAAAGCUUAAUGAUUAAUCAUGGGGCUGAUUUUGACGAUUGAUCAUACACAAGGAUUUUUGUACUCAUUCAUAGAAAUCAACCUCACAAUCAAGUGAUAAGCUUCAUGUUGCAGUGCCCUGAUCUGCUUUACUUCAUCGUUCAUGUCAUGGAAGUGUAUUAAUCAACAAUUGAAACUAGAAUCUGCUAUCAAGGAUCGGAAUUCAUGUUGGUCAGAAGUCAUCACUUGAUGUCUACUUGAUACAGAUUUUUCAACAUCAAAUAAAAAAUAUGUCAAGCUUAAUUCCUGGUGGUCAUGUCAUAGUUUAGGAAUGUCUGGCUGGGAGAUGGUGACCUGUGAAUUCUGUGCCCACGGGGCCUUGUCCCUCAAAUUGUGGGUGAACGGCACGCCCAGUCAGACUUUAGGUUUUGUGUUGUUUUUUGUAGGGUGUAGCACAUUGCGCCUUGGCAAAAGUUUGGGCCAUGUUUUUCAGCUUGAAUCCGGGAAUAGGCUUCCUUGCCUUUCCAAUGUUCCAUUUUCAGCAUGGAAAAACAACAGUGAAUGCAGGCAAGCCACUGUGAAGAAGCUUAUCAGGAUUUGGCUGAAGGACAUGGCCUAGACUUCUGUUCAGGUGGUUUAAAUACAGAUGCCACUGCCAUCUUUUGCUAUUAGCCAAGUGCUCUCAAUGUUAAUGUCAUUUUUGUAAGAAUAAAGGGUUCAUCAUGAAUCUAUUAAACAGGA